AGCGUAGACGGUGUGGCAAGUCUGAUGUGAAAGGCAUGGGCUCAACCUGUGGACUGCAUUGGAAGCUGUCAUACUUGAGUGCCGGAGGGGUAAGCGGAAUUCCUAGUGUAGCGGUGAAAUGCGUAGAUAUUAGGAGGAACACCAGUGGCGAAGGCGGCUUACUGGACGGUAACUGACGUUGAGGCUGAAAGCGUGGGGAGCAAACA
rnacentral:rRNA from 1 species